GAGUUUGAUCCUGGCUCAGGACGAACGCUGGCGGCGUGCCUAACACAUGCAAGUCGAGCGAGAGACUUCGGUCUCUAGCGGCGGACGGGUGAGUAACACGUGGGUAACCUGCCUCAAACAGGGGGAUAGCCUUCCGAAAGGAAGAUUAAUACCGCAUAAUAUAGUUUAACCGCAUGGUUAGAUUAUCAAAGGAGUUUUAUCAAUUUAUUGAUAAACAUCCGGUUUGAGAUGGACCCGCGGCGCAUUAGCUAGUUGGUGAGGUAACGGCUCACCAAGGCGACGAUGCGUAGCCGACCUGAGAGGGUGAUCGGCCACAUUGGAACUGAGAUAC
rnacentral:rRNA from 1 species